GGUUAAGCUACAAAGGGCUCACGGUGGAUACCUUGGCACACAGAGGCGAUGAAGGACGUGGUUACCUGCGAUAAGUCUCGGGGAGCUGGAAACACGCUUUGAUCCGGGAAUUUCCGAAUGGGGCAACCCUUAGAACGACCAACUCAAUAAAUAGGUUGGUUCGAGCCAACCCAGCGAACUGAAACAUCUUAGUAGCUGGAGGAAAAGAAAGUAAAAACGACUCCCCAAGUAGCGGCGAGCGAACGGGGAAUAGCCCAAACCAACGGUUGCGACUGUUGGGGUUGUGGGACAGUAACAUGGAUUUUGGAUACUAGUAGAAGCGCUUGAAUGGCGCGCCAUAGAGGGUGAAAGCCCCGUAUACGAAAGUUGAAUUAACCUAGCUGUAUCCCGAGUAGCACGGAGCACGUGGAAUUCCGUGUGAAUCUGCGAGGACCACCUCGUAAGGCUAAGUACUACUGUGUGACCGAUAGUGAAGCAGUACCGCGAGGGAAAGGUGAAAAGAACCCCGGGAGGGGAGUGAAAUAGAACAUGAAACCGUGAGCUUACAAGCAAUGGGAGCCCGACUUAUCGGGUGACUGUGUGCCUGUUGAAGAAUGAGCCGGCGACUUAUAGGUACUGGCAGGUUAAGGGGAAAAUCCCGGAGCCAUAGCGAAAGCGAGUCUGAAUAGGGCGAUAGUCAGUGUUUAUAGACCCGAACCCGGGUGAUCUAACCAUGGCCAGGAUGAAGCUUGGGUGAUACCAAGUGGAGGUCCGAACCGACUGAUGUUGAAAAAUCAGCGGAUGAGCUGUGGUUAGGGGUGAAAUGCCAAUCGAACCCGGAGCUAGCUGGUUCUCCCCGAAAUACGUUGAGGCGUAGCGUCUAGUGCUCCAGCAGGGGGGUAAAGCCACUGUUUCGGUGCGGGCUGCGAAAGCGGUACCAAAUCGAUACAAACUCUGAAUACCCUGUGUGUAACUAGGCAGUCAGACUGUGGGGGAUAAGCUCCAUGGUCAAGAGGGAAACAGCCCAGACCGCCAGCUAAGGUCCCUAAAUAAACGCUAAGUGAUAAAGGAGGUGGGAUUGCACAGACAACCAGGAGGUUUGCUUAGAAGCAGCCAUCCUCAAAGGAGUGCGUAAUAGCUCACUGGUCGAGCGAUCCUGCGCCGAAAAUGAACGGGGCUAAGCGUUUUACCGAAGCUGCGGAUUCUAUGAAUGGUAGGGGAGCGUUCCAUGUGGGGUGAAGCGUUAGCGUAAGCGGGCGUGGACUGCAUGGAAGUGAGAAUGUCGGCUUGAGUAGCGAAAACAUGGGUGAGAAUCCCAUGCCCCGAAACCCUAAGGGUUCCUUCGGUAGGCUCGUCCACGAAGGGUUAGUCUGGACCUAAGGCGAGGUCGAAAGGCGUAGUCGAUGGAUAACAGGUCAACAUUCCUGUACUAACUGUAUUUGGGAAGGGGGACGGAGAAGGCUAGCCAAGCCAGAUGUUGGUUACUGGUUCAAACAUACGAGGUGUUGAGGAUCGGCGAAAACGAUCUGAGCUAAGUUGUGAGUACGAACUGCCACGGCAGUGAAGUUGGUGAUGUCAUGCUUCCAAGAAAAGCCCUAUACCCGUUAAGAUACAGUUACCAGUACCCGAAACCGACACAGGUGGGGUGGUAGAGAAUACCGAGGGGCGCGAGAUAACUCUCUCUAAGGAACUCGGCAAAAUGGCCCCGUAACUUCGGGAGAAGGGGUGCCAGCUUACGCUGGUCGCAGUGAAGAGGCCCAAGCGACUGUUUACCAAAAACACAGGUCUCCGCUAAGUCGCAAGACGAUGUAUGGGGGCUGACGCCUGCCCAGUGCCGGAAGGUUAAGGAAGUU
rnacentral:rRNA from 1 species